CCUCCCAUCCCACCUCUCGAUCGAUAAGCCUCGUAUAAUCCCACCUCGUUACCCCUUCCACCGAUUUUCUUUUGAACCAAACCCCACCGAUCUUUUCUGGUCUUUUCUCCAUCAUGUAUCCCACGUCUCAGCCCUCCCGGUACGCUCACCCUGAUCGAUCAUUGACCGACGAGGUAUCCUUUUUUUGCGUGGAGACGAGGUAUCCUUUUCCUUCCCACAAAUCUCAAUAGAAUCAAACCUUUCCCAAAUCACAACAGAAUCAAAGACUUUCAUGCCACGGAUUCCCUCCUGUUCCUUCCCGAACAUAUCUCAAACGAAUAAAAUAUCUCAAUCAAUAGAGUAAAUCAGGAGUACGUCGCGUACGUAUGCCCAGAAAAAAAUUCGGGACGUGAUCCCCUGAAUCUUUCUGUACAUACUCCUUCCAGAUCGCUGCUGGUAGUCUUGGUCUCUUGGAACAUGAAGGGCACCAGCUUGUGAGCCGAGAUCUUUUCGAUCCCAUGCUGCUCCAGCGGUAGAUUAUCUUAGUAUAUUGUUCUAAGUUCUAACCCUCCGUGUUAUCUAUGGAUUUCUCAAGCAUGAGUCGUCCCGCUGAUGAUGCAUCGCAAACAUGCAAUGGCCUGCCAUUGCAGACGUAGCCGACAUGAGGGCCGCCAUCAAUCCCGCCGUCGAAACCACCCACCCGACGUGGCCAAGCCAUCUGGUCCUCGCCAACGAGUACCGCUCCUCCGGAGCUUGCAAGGUUUUCUCCUCCACACGAGUUGAGGAAGUCAUCUUCGAUCUUGCCGAUCGGGGUUGUGUGUCUUGGAUCUCAUGAGCGGCAGCAGUUCGAUCGACGCAGGAGGUGGCCGUGGGCGAGGUGUUAUUGUGUUAACUAAUGUCACCCACCCGAAGCGGACACCCUUGCCGCCACCAAGCUCCUCCCGCAGGUGACCCGAUGCGGGGGAUUGGUGUUGCCUGCAGUCGGUGGCUUCUCCAAGGGUGAGCGUAAGCGUGGCGAGCCAGCGGCGCCGUGGGCUACGCUCAGCGCCAUGGUGUGGCUGCAGGGGUGGACAUCGUGUGGCAUGGCCACGAGGCCAAAGCAAGAUCAUUAGAUCAGGCUGGGCUGCUACUGGUUGUCGUUCCUCGUUGCUCGAAGGUGAAAAUCUCAUGCUGCCAUGUGCUUGUCCUCUCAUGUAUGAAUCAUUUGCAGAUGCAGGUAAUGUGCACAUAUCUCUAUGCCUGUAGGAGUAUUUGGCAAUUUAUGCAGGUGAUGAUCCAGCGCCAUGAUGCAAAAUUCAGUUUAUGUGUUAUGUGUCUUCAAAGGAUUUGGCAGUUUUGGCACCAGGAUUUUUUGGCCAAAUGCGUCAUUUCAACCAUAAGUAGAAUACGAACUUGUGAGACAGAGCUGAUUGAUACGUUUGUGGACCUUUAAAAAAUGUAGAACUGAGUAGUUUUCUUCAGUAAUUAUACCAAUUAGCUACCUACUUACAUUUAAGUUCUUUGUGAAAUACUGUAAUUGUUAGAUACAGCUGACUUUGAAUAAUUAUUAGUAGCACGUACACGUCUAUCAUUACUGAUAAUGCUAAGUAGGUCCAUUGUUUAAUGAAAGCUAUACAGUUUCGGUAUUGUAAUAGGUUAUUUGUUGACUGAUGCUUAUCUUGUUCCCUGGUUGAUCUCAACAUCAAACGUUCUACGCUUCCUUUUUGAUAGCCGAGAGGUGUACUAUGAAAGGAAGACUUGCUCCAAAGGUUGUAAUGCCAUUUACUAUGCAGAUGAUUCCGGCAACUUCUCAAACAAGUCAACAUUAUCAUUUACCCUGUAGAUGGUUGGAGAAUGCACAGAGCGCGAAUGACAGCCUCAAACAAAUGUAGCAGAGCAAGGUGAUGAAUUCUCCCAUGUUUUGUAAUCUGAAUCUUCACCAGAAUCUCUCGAUUGUUCGAUCCAGUUUGUUGUUAUAGUACAAUUAUUCCUAAACUGGAUCUUUGCUCGAAUAGCUUGAUCGAUCCAGUAUGUUGUUAUUGUAGUGGCGGUCCCUAGCCCCGACAUACUAAUCCUCAUAGCUUGUGCCUCCGACACGGCCUCCCUCAUCGACGCGACCAAGUUUGGGAUGAUGCAUAAGCAUGCAGCAUCCCUCCUGAAGGAGAAGCAGGAGCUGCUCCUUCACACCCUCCUCGUAUAGAUGGGUUGACAUUUAUCUCACGUUGUUUCAAACAUAAAUUGAUUGUCCAUCAAGUAGGAAAUUUUGGUUUUCUCUACAUGGCAUGAUAUUAUUCCCUUUUCUAGGUCUAAUUUAUGAAGAAACCAGUACAGAGGAUCUUCUAGAAAGAAACCCUUUUCUAGGUCUAA